AGAGUUUGAUCCUGGCUCAGAGCGAACGCUGGCGGCAGGCCUAACACAUGCAAGUCGAGCGCCCCGCAAGGGGAGCGGCAGACGGGAGAGUAACACGUGGGAACGUACCCUUCAGUUCGGAACAACUCAGGGAAACUUGGGCUAAUACCGAAUACGUCCGUAAGGAGAAAGAUUUAUCGCUGAAGGAUCGGCCCGCGUCUGAUUAGCUUGUUGGUGAGGUAACGGCUCACCAAGGCUACGAUCAGUAGCUGGUCUGAGAGGAUGAUCAGCCUCACUGGGACUGAGACACGGCCCAGACUCCUACGGGAGGCAGCAGUGGGGAAUAUUGGACAAUGGGCGCAAGCCUGAUCCAGCCAUGCCGCGUGGAUGAUGAAGGCCUUAGGGUUGUAAAGUCCUUUCGACGGGGAAGAUAAUGACGGUACCCGUAGAAGAAGCCCCGGCUAACUUCGUGCCAGCAGCCGCGGUAAU
rnacentral:rRNA from 1 species